UACGUAGGGGGCAAGCGUUGUCCGGAAUUAUUGGGCGUAAAGAGCGUGUAGGCGGUCCGGUAAGUCAGCUGUGAAAGUCGAGGGCUCAACCCUCGAAAGCCGGUGGAUACUGUCGGGCUAGAGUGCGGAAGAGGCGAGUGGAAUUCCUGGUGAGCGGUGAAAUGCGUAGAUAUCUGGAGGAACACCGGUGGCGAAGGCGGCAUCCUGGACCAACACUGACGCUGAGUGAGCGAAAGCCAGGGGAGCAAACGGG
rnacentral:rRNA from 1 species